rnacentral:rRNA from 1 species
UACGGAGGGGGCUAGCGUUGUUCGGAAUUACUGGGCGUAAAGCGCUCGUAGGCGGACCUGCAAGUCGGGGGUGAAAGCCCGAGGCUCAACCUCGGAACUGCCUUCGAUACUGCGGGUCUCGAGUCCGGGAGAGGUGAGUGGAAUUCCUAGUGUAGAGGUGAAAUUCGUAGAUAUUAGGAAGAACACCAGUGGCGAAGGCGGCUCACUGGCUCUGUACUGACGCUGAGGCGCGAAAGCGUGGGGAGCAAACAGG